rnacentral:rRNA from 1 species
AAAAUCCGCGAUCACAAGGGUUCGGGUCGAGACAACCGCAAGGUAGUCACCAGCCAUGUAUUCAAGAAAAGCUCCUAAAGGUUAAAGCUUAUAUGACCGUACUAAAACUGACACAGGUAGGUGAGACGAGAAGUCUAAGGCGCUCGGGAGAACUCUGGUUAAGGAACUCUGCAAAAUGACCCCGUACGUUCGCAAUAAGGGGUACUAACGCAAGUUAGUCACAGUAAAUCUGAGCAGCAACUGUUUAUCAAAAACACAGGACUCUGCAAACACGCAAGUGGAAGUAUAGAGUCUGACGCCUGCCCGGUGUUGGUAGGUUAAGGAAGAGGGUUAGCCGUAAGGCGAAGCUCGCGACCGAAGCCCCAAUAAACGGCGGCCGUAACUAUGACGGUCCUAAGGUAGCGAAGUUCCUUGUCGGGUAAGUUCCGACCUGCAUGAAUGGCGUAAUGACUGCUCUACUGUCUCAACCAGAGACCAGGUGAAAUUGUAGUCGUGGUGAAGAUGCCACGUUCCCGCAGUGUGACGGAAAGACCCCAUGAACCUUUACUGUAGGCAGAUAUUGGUCUCGAGUGUGAAUUGUGUAGGAUAGGUGGGAGGCUAUGAAGUGGUAGCGCAAGCUAUCAUGGAGCCAACGUUGAAAUACCACCCUGUUUAUGCUUAAGUUCUAACUCUGUCCCGUGAAUCCGGGCAGAGGACAGUUUCUGUUGGGCAGUUUGACUGGGGCGGUCUCCUCCGAAAGAGUAACGGAGGAGUCCAAAGGUACCCUCAGCCUGGUCGGUAAUCAGGCAUAGAGCGCAAAAGUAGAAGGGUGCUUGACUGUGAGACAAAUAAGUCGAACAGGGUCGAAAGACGGGUUUAGUGAUCCGGCGGUUUCUGUAUGGAAAGGCCGUCGCUCAUCAGAUAAAAGGUACUCUGGGGAUAACAGGCUUAUCGCUUCCGAGCGUCCAUAGCGGCGAAGCGGUUUGGCACCUCGAUGUCGGCUCAUCACAUCCUGGGGGUGGAGAAGCUCCCAAGGGUUUGCUGUUCGCCAAUGAAAGUGGUACGUGAGCUGGGUUCAGACCGUCGUGAGACAGGUCGGUCCCUAUCUGCUGUGGGCGUACGAAAUUUGAGGAGAUUCUUCUUUAGUACGAGAGGAUUUUGAAGGACGCUCCUCUGGUGUCCCAGUUGUCGCGCUAGCGGCACGGCUGGAUAGCUAUGUGCGGAACGGAUAAACGCUGAAAGCAUAUAAGCGUGAAGCCCGCUCCAAGAUUAGAUUUCGUUGAACUUUUAGUUCGAAAGUCCCCCGGAAGACUACCGGGUUAAUAGGCUGGAUGUGUACGUGUAGAAAUAUACUUAGCUAACCAGUACUAACGGACGAAUACUUGACCAU